rnacentral:rRNA from 1 species
GUCGGGAGUUAGGAAAUGUAAGUGCGCUAAUAUCGCAUUUAUUUGACGAAGGCUCCAGAGGAAGUCACGGCUAACUCUGUGCCAGCAGCCGCGGUAAUACAGAGGUGGCAAGCGUUGUUCGGAAUUAUUGGGCGUAAAGAGCACGUAGGUGGGUUUGUAAGUCAGAUGUGAAAGCCUUCUGUUCAACGGAAGAAUUGCAUCUGAAACUACGAAUCUUGAGUGUAGGAGGGGAGAGUGGAACUUCUGGU